CCGUUAAAAAGUAACAGAAACCGUUAAUUCUACCUGACGGCGUCAGAAUAUUCCGUCAAACUUUGACGGAAUAUUCUCUAUCUUCUACCUUCGAACUCUAGUAACCAUCACCGUCACUGGAAACUGAAAAAUCUUAAAAUCCUUGUAUCUCAGUCAUUUCUUACCCAAAACUCAUGAAAUUGGUCUCAAUUUAAAGCUUAUAACUAGAAGAACACAUCCUUACCAAUUUCAAGGCUUGAGAUCCAUGAAAACUCACUGGAGAAAGCUCGAUA
rnacentral:lncRNA from 1 species